UAGAUGCAGUCGAACGGGGAACUCUUUCGAGGGUUUCUAGUGGCGAACGGUCGCGUAACACGUAAGCAACCUGCCCGGAAGUGGGGGACAACAGCCCGAAAGGGCUGCUAAUACCGCAUGUGGCCAACCAUUGGCAUCAUUGGUUGUCUAAAGCUUGAUUAACGUCAGUGCUUCCGGAUGGGCUUGCGGCCUAUCAGCUAGUUGGUGGGGUAAUGGCUCACCAAGGCAUCGACGGGUAGCUGGUCUGAGAGGAUGGUCAGCCGGAUUGGGACUGAGAUACGGCCCAGACUCCUACGGGGGGCAGCAAUUAGGAAUCUUGCGCAAUGGGGGCAACCCUGACGCAGCGACGCCGCGUGCGGGAUGAAGGCAUUCGUGUCGUAAACCGCUUUUUCCAGGGAAGAAGAAAGUGACGGUACCUGGUGAAUAAGCCCCGGCUAACUACGUGCCAGCAGCCGCGGUAAUACGUAGGGGGCGAGCGUUGUCCGAAGUUACUGGGCGUAAAGCGCGCGUAGGCGGUUUCUUAAGUCUGGGGUGAAAGGUUCAGCGCUCAACGCGAACAGUGCCCUGGAUACUGGGAGACUUGAGUUUGGGAGAGGGAAGCGGAAUUCCGGGUGUAGCGGUGAAAUGCGUAGAUAUCCGGAGGAACACCGAUGGCGAAGGCAGCUUCCUGGCCUUUAACUGACGCUGAGGCGCGAAAGCGUGGGGAGCGAACGGGAUUAGAUACCCCGGUAGUCCACGCCGUAAACGAUGAGUGCCAGGUGUCGGGGGUAUCGACCCCCCCGGUGCCGUCGCUAACGCUUUAAGCACUCCGCCUGGGGAGUACGGCCGCAGGUUGAAACUCAAAGGAAUUGACGGGGGCCCGCACAAGCGGUGGAGCAUGUGGAUUAAUUCGUCACUAAACCGAAGAACCUUACCCAGGCUUGACAUC
rnacentral:rRNA from 1 species